rnacentral:rRNA from 1 species
GACGAACGCUGGCGGCGUGCUUAACACAUGCAAGUCGAACGGAAAGGCCCUGCUUUUGUGGGGUGCUCGAGUGGCGAACGGGUGAGUAACACGUGAGUAACCUGCCCUUGACUUUGGGAUAACUUCAGGGAACUGGGGCUAAUACCGGAUAGGAGCUCCUGCUGCAUGGUGGGGGUUGGAAAGUUUCGGCGGUUGGGGAUGGACUCGCGGCUUAUCAGCUUGUUGGUGGGGUAGUGGCUUACCAAGGCUUUGACGGGUAGCCGGCCUGAGAGGGUGACCGGCCACAUUGGGACUGAGAUACGGCCCAGACUCCUACGGGAGGCAGCGGUUGGGAAUAUUGCACAAUGGGCGGAAGCCUGAUGCAGCAACGCCGCGUGCGGGAUGACGGCCUUCGGGUUGUAAACCGCUUUCGCCUGUGACGAAGCGUGAGUGACGGUAAUGGGUAAAGAAGCACCGGCUAACUACGUGCCAGCAGCCGCGGUGAUACGUAGGGUGCGAGCGUUGUCCGGAUUUAUUGGGCGUAAAGGGCUCGUAGGUGGUUGAUCGCGUCGGAAGUGUAAUCUUGGGGCUUAACCCUGAGCGUGCUUUCGAUACGGGUUGACUUGAGGAAGGUAGGGGAGAAUGGAAUUCCUGGUGGAGCGGUGGAAUGCGCAGAUAUCAGGAGGAACACCAGUGGCGAAGGCGGUUCUCUGGGCCUUUCCUGACGCUGAGGAGCGAAAGCGUGGGGAGCGAACAGGCUUAGAUACCCUGGUAGUCCACGCUGUAAACGGUGGGUACUAGGUGUGGGGUCCAUUCCACGGGUUCCGUGCCGUAGCUAACGCUUUAAGUACCCCGCCUGGGGAGUACGGCCGCAAGGCUAAAACUCAAAGGAAUUGACGGGGCCCCGCACAAGCGGCGGAGCAUGCGGACUAAUUCGAUGCAACGCGUAGAACCUUACCUGGGUUUGACAUGGAUCGGGAGCGCUCAGAGAUGGGUGUGCCUCUUUUGGGGUCGGUUCACAGGUGGUGCAUGGCUGUCGUCAGCUCGUGUCGUGAGAUGUUGGGUUAAGUCCCGCAACGAGCGCAACCCUUGUUCACUGUUGCCAGCACGUUAUGGUGGGGACUCAGUGGAGACCGCCGGGGUCAACUCGGAGGAAGGUGGGGAUGACGUCAAGUCAUCAUGCCCCUUAUGUCCAGGGCUUCACGCAUGCUACAAUGGCUGGUACAGAGAGUGGCGAGCCUGUGAGGGUGAGCGAAUCUCGGAAAGCCGGUCUCAGUUCGGAUUGGGGUCUGCAACUCGACCUCAUGAAGUCGGAGUCGCUAGUAAUCGCAGAUCAGCAACGCUGCGGUGAAUACGUUCCCGGGGCU